GACGUAGGUGGCGAACGUUAUCCGGAAUUAUUGGGCGUAAAGGGUGCGUAGAUGGCCUGAUAAGUUAGCAGUGGGAAAUCGAGGCUCAACCUCGUGGAAGCUGGUAAUACUGUCGGGCUCGAGUGCAGGAGAGGUUAACGGAACUCCAUGUGGAGCGGUAAAAUGUGUAGAUAUAUGGAAGAACACCAAUAACGGCGAAGGCAGUUAACUAUUCUGUUACUGACAUUGAGGCACGAAAGCGUGGGGAGCAAAACGG
rnacentral:rRNA from 1 species